GGAGGCGAAUGGGGGCUGGUGUCCCUCCCGGUCUUCAAAACCGGUGGGCCGGGGAAACCCGGCCGGCGGGUUCGAUUCCCGUCCGCCUCCGCCA
rnacentral:tRNA from 1 species